GACGAACGCUGGCGGCGUGCUUAACACAUGCAAGUCGAACGGAAAGGCCCUGCUUUUGUGGGGUGCUCGAGUGGCGAACGGGUGAGUAACACGUGAGUAACCUGCCCUUGACUUUGGGAUAACUUCAGGAAACUGGGGCUAAUACCGGAUAGGAGCUCCUGCUGCAUGGUGGGGGUUGGAAAGUUUCGGCGGUUGGGGAUGGACUCGCGGCUUAUCAGCUUGUUGGUGGGGUAGUGGCUUACGAAGGCUUUGACGGGUAGCCGGCCUGAGAGGGUGACCGGCCAAAUGGGGACUGAGACACGGCCAGACUCCUACGGGAGGGAGGAGUGGGGAAUAUUGCACAAUGGGAGGAAGCCUGAUGCAGCAACGCCGCGUGCGGGAUAACGGCCUUCGGGUUGUAAACCGCUUUCGCCUGUGACGAAGCGUGAGUGACGGUAAUGGGUAAAGAAGCACCGGCUAAAUACGUG
rnacentral:rRNA from 1 species